GAGUCUUUAAAUAAAUCUGACACAAGGAACACAAUGAACCUGCAACUGACAUAAAGAAGAGGCUGGGGUGUAAAAUUGAUUAUUGAUGCCUGGACAGAAAGGAUAUGGACUUCAAUGGAAUCCACAAGGGAAGCAGAGCAGGAAACGAGUAGAGAAGCAAGGAGCCGACUCAGCAUCAGCCUCUGAGUUGGGCAACUUAUCAGAUCUGAAAGCUGGAGUGGCUUACUGGACGUCUGUGGGAAGAUUGAAGACACACUGCCCAUGCCCAAGGUUAGGCACAGCAUCCAGG
rnacentral:lncRNA from 1 species